ACAUGCAGAGAACUUUCCAGAGAUGGAUUGUGCCUUCGGGAACUCUGACACAGGUGCUGCAUGGCUGUCGUCAGCUCGUGCGUGAGAUGUUGGGUUAAGUCCGUAACGAGCGCAACCCUUGUCCUUAGUUACCAGCACGUUAUGGUGGGCACUCUAAGGAGACUGCCGGUGACAACCGGAGGAAGGUGGGGAUGACGUCAAGUCAUCAUGGCCCUUACGGCCUGGGCUACACACGUGCUACAAUGGUCGGUACAAAGGGUUGCCAAGCCGCGAGGUGGAGCUAAUCCCAUAAAACCGAUCGUAGUCCGGAUCGCAGUCUGCAACUCGACUGCGUGAAGUCGGAAUCGCUAGUAAUCGUGAAUCAGAAUGUCACGGUGAAUACGUUCCCGGGCCUU
rnacentral:rRNA from 1 species